rnacentral:rRNA from 1 species
GACGAACCGUGCGAACGUUAUUCGGAAUCACUGGGCUUAAAGCGCGUGUAGGCGGGACGGCACGUCGGCCGCUGAAAUCCCCCGGCUCAACCGGGGAAGGGGCGCCGAUACGACCGCCCUGGAGGGACGUAGGGGGGGGCUGGAACUUCCGGUGGAGCGGUGAAAUGCGUUGAGAUCGGAAGGAACGCCCGUGGCGAAAGCGAGCCCCUGGACGUCUACUGACGCUGAGACGCGAAAGCCAGGGGAGCGAACGGG